CCUACGGGACGCAGCAGUGAGGAAUAUUGGUCAAUGGGCGGGAGCCUGAACCAGCCAAGUCGCGUGAGGGAAGACGGUCCUAUGGAUUGUAAACCUCUUUUGUCGGGGAGCAAAGAGGCCACGUGUGGUCAAAAGCGAGAGUACCCGAAGAAAAAGCAUCGGCUAACUCCGUGCCAGCAGCCGCGGUAAUACGGAGGAUCCGAGCGUUAUCCGGAUUUAUUGGGUUUAAAGGGUGCGUAGGCGGUUUGAUAAGUUAGAGGUGAAAUGUCGGGG
rnacentral:rRNA from 1 species